UCACGAUGAACUGAAUUAUUAGCUAUGUCAAUAGCUGCUUUGUUGUCACAGUAUAGCAUCGGGGUCCAUUCUCAAACAAUCAUUCUUCAGUUAGAAGAAUCUGCAGCCACAGCAGCUCACACACACGUGAGCCAUAGCACGAAACUAUGCACCGGAACGAGAGCGGUUUGGUUGUGACCCGCCGUCGAACACCUGGUGGGUGCCACCAGUUGAAGCCCCGUGGUCGCGAUGGGAAUGGCAACAGAUGCAUCCCGUGGUGAAGAGGAGGUCGGGGAAGCUGAGCAGGAUGCUGUCGCUGGCUUGUUGGAUCUCG
rnacentral:lncRNA from 1 species